CAGUAGCCGCGGGAAUACAGAGGGUGCAAGCGUUAAUCGGAAUUACUGGGCGUAAAGCGCGCGUAGGUGGUUUGUUAAGUUGGAUGUGAAAUCCCCGGGCUCAACCUGGGAACUGCAUCCAAAACUGGCAAGCUAGAGUAUGGUAGAGGGUGGUGGAAUUUCCUGUGUAGCGGUGAAAUGCGUAGAUAUAGGAAGGAACACCAGUGGCGAAGGCGACCACCUGGACUGAUACUGACACUGAGGUGCGAAAGCGUGGGGAGCAAACAGGAUUAGAUACCCGCGUAGUCCCUGUCUCUUAUAC
rnacentral:rRNA from 1 species